GAUGAACGCUGACAGAAUGCUUAACACAUGCAGGUCCACUUGAAUUUGGGUUUUUAACUUCGGUUUGGGUGGCGGACGGGUGAGUAACGCGUAAAGAACUUGCCUCACAGCUAGGGACAACAUUUGGAAACGAAUGCUAAUACCUAAUAUUAUGAUAAUAGGGCAUCCUAUAAUUAUGAAAGCUAUAAGCGCUGUGAGAGAGCUUUGCGUCCCAUUAGCUAGUUGGAGAGGUAACGGCUCACCAAGGCGAUGAUGGGUAGCCGGCCUGAGAGGGUGAUCGGCCACAAGGGGACUGAGACACGGCCCUUACUCCUACGGGAGGCAGCAGUGGGGAAUAUUGGACAAUGGACCGAGAGUCUGAUCCAGCAAUUCUGUGUGCACGAUGAAGUUUUUCGGAAUGUAAAGUGCUUUCAGUUGGGAAGAAACAAAUGACGGUACCAACAGAAGAAGUGACGGCUAAAUACGUG
rnacentral:rRNA from 1 species